rnacentral:rRNA from 1 species
CGAUCAGAUACCGCCCUAGUUCUGACCGUAAACGAUGCCAACUAGCGAUCUGCCGAUGGAACACCAUUGCCAUGGUAGGGAGCUUCCCGGAAACGAAAGUCUUCCGGUUCCGGGGGAAGUAUGGUUGCAAAGCUGAAACUUAAAGGAAUUGACGGAAGGGCACCACCAGGAGUGGAGCCUGCGGCUUAAUUUGACUCAACACGGGGAAACUCACCCGGCCCGGACACCGUAAGGAUUGACAGAUUGAUAGCUUUUUCAUGAUUCGGUGGAUGGUGGUGCAUGGCCGUUCUUAGUUCGUGGAGCGAUUUGUCUGGUUUAUUCCGAUAACGAGCGAGACUCUGGCCUACUAAAUAGUCCGCACAUUGCCUCUGUGCGCAGGACUUCUUAGAGGGAUUUUCGGUGUUCAGCCGCACGAAAUUGAGCAAUAACAGGUCUGUGAUGCCCUUAGAUGUCCGGGGCUGCACGCGCGCUACACUGGCAAAAUCAGCGUGCUUGUCCUUCCCCGAAAGGGGUUGGUAAACCCUUGAAAAUUUGCCGUGAUUGGGAUCGGAAAUUGCAAUUAUUUUCCGUGAACGAGGAAUUCCAAGUAAGUGCGAGUCAUCAACUCGCGUUGAUUACGUCCCUCCCCUUUGUA